rnacentral:rRNA from 1 species
GGCCUACGGGAGGCUGCAGUAGGGAAUAUUGGUUAAUCUGGGAAACCGGGAACCAGCAACGCCGCGUGCGCGAUGAAGGCCUUCGGGUUGUAAAGCGCUUUUAGAGAGGAUGAGGAAGGACAGUACUCUCUGAAUAAGCCUCGGCUAACUACGUGCCAGCAGCCGCGGUAAAACGUAGGAGGCGAGCGUUAUCCGGAUUUACUGGGCGUAAAGCGCGUGUAGGCGGUUUGAUAAGUUGGAUGUGAAAGCUCCUGGCUUAACUGGGAGAGGUCGUUCAAAACUGUCAGACUUGAGAGUGGUAGAGGGAGGUGGAAUUCCGGGUGUAGUGGUGAAAUGCGUAGAUAUCCGGAGGAACACCAGUGGCGAAAGCGGCCUCCUGGACCAUUUCUGACGCUCAGACGCGAAAGCUAGGGUAGCAAACGGGAUUAGAUACCCUGGUAGUCG